rnacentral:misc_RNA from 1 species
AACAAGCAAGUACAGGAGCAAAACCUGCUAUAAAUUUUAACUUGUGCUAGAAAAUUGCUACAAGCAUUUCUUGUCAAGUGAAGUAGGAGAAUUGCUAGUGCCUCACAGGAGUGCUUGGUUAAAAAUAAUCCCAUGACACCAAGAAAUAAGAACAUAACAGUAGUGGCUUAUAAACCCAAAACUAGACAUAGCUAAAGAAUAUUUUUGCUCAAGUUUGAU